UGUAAGACAUUCCGAGAUAAGCGGAGUUUCGAGAUAGCCACAGAGUUUUCGACCGACGGUAACCUCCACAGGGCGUCAUUCUGACCGCUGAGAAAGCGCAAAAAUGAACUGCACCGGAUAAGCCAUCGCUACAAAAUCACGGCCCUUAAAUAUGGAGGUAGGGGAUUCCAAAAUUGUUUGCGCCGUUUGCAGCCAGCUGAACAAUGGCCUCAACAUCGUAUCUCUGGAAAGCAGCAUGCCGCGCGUUGCGAGAAAUACACCGCGGGAAAGCGCUCGCCACCGCCCUCCUUAGUAACCUGACCAGCAACCGCCCUUGCUGCCACUUGGCAGCAAGGGCGGCAGCAGGCUUCAAGUGUGCUCACGGACUCUGCGCAUCUUUUACGCAAGCACUUGCUGAUACCUUAUCCUGCAAUCCGGCUCUGGUGGCUUCGCUACCGUUUCGGACUUGAUCGCCCUGGAUUGGAAAGCUGCGUUUCCCUACGUUAGCAUCACCUUUCAAGCCACGAAAAUUUGACUGCGACAUUGCCGCUUCUGCCCCACUGGCUCAUCUGCGGACACUACAAAAGGACCGAGCGCAUCAUCUGCUCUUUCACUUGGCAGCAAGGGCGGCAGCAGGCUUCACGUGUGCUCACAGACUCUGCGCAUCUUUUACGCAGGAUGUUCGAUGUGUUGUGUGAGCUGCCCUCGCUAGAGCUGAUCCGAGGCGUCAUUCAAGGACCAUUGAACCGCUACAUCAUGGCCGCGCGCCUUUCUGCGCCGCACUCGCCGAUUCUGUGCUGUGGUCCACCAGCACUCAUGGACAAAGUAUGCAGGGCAGUGCUCGCAGAUAUUGGCUACAAAAAUGAACACCUCCUCUUUUAUUGAGCCGGUGACAAUGAAACACCACACUAGGUGCUCACCGUUUUCUACUUUCCCGUUGGCACCUGCUGUUCUCCUGGAGCCACCACGAAGUCUACGGGCACGCCCGCCUUAUGGUGUGUUGGCUUACGGGGUACACCUGCCUGGCGGAGCCUGCUGAAUCGUGCG